rnacentral:rRNA from 1 species
ACUCCUACGGGAGGCAGCAGUGGGGAAUAUUGGGCAAUGGGGGAAACCCUGACCCAGCGACGCCGCGUGAGUGAAGACGGCCUUCGGGUUGUAAAGCUCUGUUGUUGGGGACGAUAAUGACGGUACCCCAUGAGGAAGCCCCGGCUAACUACACGUGCCAGCAGCCGCGGUAAU